GUCGCGGUAGCUCAGCUGGUAGAGCAGCGGAUUGAAAAUCCGCGUGUCGAUGGUUCAAGUCCAUCUCGCGACA
rnacentral:tRNA from 1 species